UACAGAGGUCCCAAGCGUUGUUCGGAUUUACUGGGCGUAAAGGGCGCGUAGGUGGUGAGGUAAGUCUGAUGUGAAAUCUCCGAGCUUAACUCGGAAAUGGCAUUGGAAACUACCUUGCUAGAGGGUUGGAGGGGGGACUGGAAUACUUGGUGUAGCAGUGAAAUGCGUAGAUAUCAAGUGGAACACCAGUGGCGAAGGCGAGUCCCUGGACAACUCCUGACACUGAGGCACGAAAGCUAGGGGAGCAAACAGG
rnacentral:rRNA from 1 species